UGAGUAACACGUGAGUGACCUGUCCUUUUAGACUGGAACAACUUACCGAAAGGUGAGCUAAUGCCGGAUGAGUUAUAUAAGUGCAUGUUUAUAUAGGAAAAGUUGGGGAGACCUGACGCUGAAAGAUGGACUCGCGUCCCAUUAGCUAGUUGGUAGGGUAAUGGCCUACCAAGGCGACGAUGGGUAGCCGGCCUGAGAGGGUGGCCGGCCACACUGGGACUGAGACACGGCCCAGACUCCUACGGAAGGCAGCAG
rnacentral:rRNA from 1 species